rnacentral:sRNA from 1 species
AAGCAGUUGGCGUAAGUCCAAGUGUGAUCGGUCCUUCGGAAUGAAGGACCAACCGGAGUCCCGAUUUAAUCGGGACCGUCGGAUCCCUUGGGUGCCACUGCUU